UAAGUACUCCCUCCGUCCGGAAAUAUUCGUCGAAGAAAUGCAUAAAAAUAGAUGUAUCUAGAACUAAAAUACGUCUAGAUACAUCCAUUUCUCUGACAAGUAUUUUGGGACGGAGGGAGUAUUAG
rfam:Triticum aestivum genome assembly, contig: Triticum_aestivum_CS42_TGACv1_scaffold_500633_6BL